CUGUCGUCAGCUCGUGUCGUGAGAUGUUGGGUUAAGUCCCGCAACGAGCGCAACCCCUUCGUUCAUUAGUUGCCAUCAUUUGGUUGGGCACUCUAAUGAGACUGCCGGUGACAAACCGGAGGAAGGUGGGGAUGACGUCAAGUCCUCAUGGCCUUUAUGACCAGGGCUACACACGUACUACAAUGGCCGGUACAAAGGGCAGCGACACAGCGAUGUGAAGCGAAUCCCGAAAAGCCGGUCUCAGUCCGGAUUGGAGUCUGCAACUCGACUCCAUGAAGUUGGAAUCGCUAGUAAUCGCGGAUCAGCAUGUCGCGGUGAAUACGUUCCCGGGUCUU
rnacentral:rRNA from 1 species